UGAAUUUCUAGGUUGUUCUUCUCUUGAAGCUUGGAGUUGGAGGGAGAUUCUCUUCACCGGCGGAUCCUCGGAGAGAUUAAAGAUCCAUACCAGGCUGUAGUUCACGGGACUUGGUGAGCCCAACUCUGUAGCUCGGAGCCAGGAGAAGAUCAAGUUUAGGUCUGGGGGGGUGUCAGAGAGUCGUAUUGUCUGCGUUAUCAGUAUCUUGUUAUUACCUGCUUGAGAGUGUAAGACUUGUAUUCUGACUGUAUUUGUAAUAUGCAAACUGUUGGAUUGUAUUUGUAUUCUGUAGGGCUGCUAAAGCCCGUACUUGUA